GCAAGUCGAACGUUAAAGCAUCUUCGUAGGUUAUUAAAGUGGCGCAGGGGACAGUAACAUGUAGGUGACCAACCCUUUAGUGGGGGAUAACCAGGAGAAAUUCAGGCUAAUAACGCACGAGAAGGUAACUUGAAAGGAAGCUGCGGCAUUCGCUAAGGGAUGAGCCUGCGGUACAUUAGCUUGUUGGUGGGGUAAUGGCCUACCAAGGCGACGAUGUAUAGCUGGUCUGAGAGGAUGAUC
rnacentral:rRNA from 1 species